GCAAGUCGAACGGAAGGCCCUGCUUUUGUGGGGUGCUCGAGUGGCGAACGGGUGAGUAACACGUGAGUAACCUGCCCUUGACUUUGGGAUAACUUCAGGAAACUGGAGCUAAUACCGGAUAGGAGCUCCUGCUGCAUGGUGGGGGUUGGAAAGUUUCGGCGGUUGGGGAUGGACUCGCGGCUUAUCAGCUUGUUGGUGGGGUAGUGGCUUACCAAGGCUUUGACGGGUAGCCGGCCUGAGAGGGUGACCGGCCACAUUGGGACUGAGAUACGGCCCAGACUCCUACGGGAGGCAGCAGUGGGGAAUAUUGCACAAUGGGCGGAAGCCUGAUGCAGCAACGCCGCGUGCGGGAUGACGGCCUUCGGGUUGUAAACCGCUUUCGCCUGUGACGAAGCGUGAGUGACGGUAAUGGGUAAAGAAGCACCGGCUAACUACGUGCCAGCAGCCGCGGUGAUACGUAGGGUGCGAGCGUUGUCCGGAUUUAUUGGGCGUAAAGGGCUCGUAGGUGGUUGAUCGCGUCGGAAGUGUAAUCUUGGGGCUUAACCCUGAGCGUGCUUUCGAUACGGGUUGACUUGAGGAAGGUAGGGGAGAAUGGAAUUCCUGGUGGAGCGGUGGAAUGCGCAGAUAUCAGGAGGAACACCAGUGGCGAAGGCGGUUCUCUGGGCCUUUCCUGACGCUGAGGAGCGAAAGCGUGGGGAGCGAACAGGCUUAGAUACCCUGGUAGUCCACGCUGUAAACGGUGGGUACUAGGUGUGGGGUCCAUUCCACGGGUUCCGUGCCGUAGCUAACGCUUUAAGUACCCCGCCUGGGGAGUACGGCCGCAAGGCUAAAACUCAAAGGAAUUGACGGGGCCCCGCACAAGCGGCGGAGCAUGCGGAUUAAUUCGAUGCAACGCGUAGAACCUUACCUGGGUUUGACAUGGAUCGGG
rnacentral:rRNA from 1 species